rfam:Schistosoma margrebowiei strain Zambia genome assembly, scaffold: SMRZ_contig0000180
AUCCAGUUGACGAGUCCCAAACAAGACGAAACGCGCGUCCUGGAU